rnacentral:rRNA from 1 species
UACGUAGGGAGCAAGCGUUGUCCGGAAUCAUUGGGCGUAAAGCGCGCGUAGGUGGCCUCAUAAGUCCGCUGUGAAAGUCAAAGGCUCAACCUUUGAAAGCCGGUGGAUACUGUGAGGCUAGAGUACGGAAGAGGCGAGUGGAAUUCCUGGUGUAGCGGUGGAAUGCGCAGAUAUCAGGAGGAACACCAAUAGCGAAGGCAGCUCGCUGGGCCGUAACUGACGCUGAGGAGCGAAAGCGUGGGGAGCGAACAGG